GUCUACAGCCAUGCCACCCUGAAUAAGCCUGAUCCCACCUGAUCUUGGAAGGUAAGCAGGGUCAGGCCUGGUUAGUACUGGGAUGGGAGACCACCUAGGAAGACCAGGUGCUGUAGGCA
rnacentral:rRNA from 1 species